rnacentral:lncRNA from 1 species
GACAAGUCUCCCCGACUUAACAGCGGAAUACCAAUCCAAGCAUUUUGCCAAGCUUGCUCCUCCUCGAGACUUAUAGCCCGACCCUCGCCUGUAAUCGAACCCCUCGUCGGACUCCUCGAGUUCCCAACGAGCAACCCCAAUAUCGAGGUUGGCCACCAAGCUAGGUGCAUCCUGUUUUGUCAACCAAACCCUCCUCGAGAGUGCUCUGUAGCUGAAUGCCUUGUUGCCUUCCUCGCCAGCCCAAGGACAUUACAAGUUCUCCCCCAACUUGUACAAUAUGAGUAUAGCCGAGCGUCUCGCCUCCCACGCGUCUCGCUCCCGCGACUCAACCCGCACGCCUCUAGCGUCGAGGUCCGGGCUUCGCGACAUCGCAUGCCACGAAGGGCACUCAUAACCAUAAGUUCCACCAUCGUGUCUCCCGCGCCUGACAACACCCAUGGCCAUACCGCCUACGCGGCCUGCUCGCUCGGUCCAACGGCUUACCUCCGAAAAGCCACCCAAGUGUGCGCCACAAGCUUGCUUGCCCCAACAUCAGCACCUCAGCGUGACACCACGCACGUCCGUGCUUCGCACCUCCGUGCUUCGCAUUCGACCCGUGCGGCCCUCGUGUCCCAUCGCUCCUGAAUAGGGAACCAACAAGUCCACACCGUGCUUCUCGACCGUCUCAUCGACCCUCGCUUUGCCACGGCGCUCCGCGCCCUUGACUCCCAUAGGUUCGCCUCAUAAGGCCCCAUACAAACGAACCGGCCUCGCUCCGCAUCGCUAGCCACUGGCCCCUCCUUGGCUCGACCACGCCUGGCCGCUUACCCCAUUGGUCCAGUCUCUCAAGGUUCACUAUACGGAUACCGAUACCGCUUGCCUCCUUGGGUUCCGCCCCUCGAGUCUCGUAGGCCACCCGCCUUACGAAUUCUCCCUCGGCAUGCCUCCCUUUAGCGUCCCUAUCGAGUCUCGCCUCCUUGGCCUUCGUGGGCGCCGCGCCCCACGAAUCCCCGCUCGGCACCCUUGCCUUCGCGAGCCUUGUCCUUUACGGAGGACCAUCCGUCGCUAGACUAUCCCUCAUCCGCUCGUACGCUCCACUACAGAGAUCCAAGCCGGCAUAAGGUAGCGCAAGCGAUCCUAGGGAGGAAGCCUCCCGGUAUUCCCCGCUUCCGUAAUGUCGUCGACCUCUCGCGUCUCCGACAUUACCCUAGGCCCGUGUCCCUUCAACCGUCCAUUAACCGGCUACACGGAACGCUAGGCUUGGCUACUCCGCUAGCCAAGGGACGACCCAUAUCCUAUGGGUCGACGGGGGAGUCGGGGCCACUUACGAAGUGUCCACCCCUCCUCUAAUACCCUUACGAGGCAUCCACUCCUUUGGCACCCCGGGGGUACAAAGGUGCUCACCGAGGGGUACGUUUUCAAGCCCCGCAUGCGGCACCUAUUUCCAAGUCAUGGCAUGGGCCAUUGCUAGGGAAUUGCCUCCGUUGACUUGACAGCGACUCCUACCUGACGGAACGCCUCAACUCCGCAACUCCAUAACUUCGUCAACCCAAAUGCCUACCAAGUAUGGCCCACAAAGGUGUCACGGUCGAGACCCAACGAUCGACCCGUGACAGUACGGCACGAGCGGCAUUUUGAACCUUGAUAAUAAUAUUAUAAUACUAAUCCAAGUGUCGAAACGCAAAAAAUCGCGCCUGCGGUGUUUCGAUCGGCUCGUCAAAUGGCACCAAAUCCCUUUCCUCUUCUUCUUCUUCUCUUUUUCCCCUUUCUCUUCUUUCCUUUUCUCUCUAUACGUACAGGUUGAAGGUGGAGGGAAGCUUCAAGAGGCUUCCCUGGCAACUUAGUGGAAUUCCACUACGGUAACAAUAUGCCAAUAAGUCCAUAAGCCAUCAAUAUUCUCAAUUUGCUCUAAUUUCAAUUUGAUACUUUUAAUUGCAGCCCUUCUGAAUGUCCGUUUGCGGUACAACUCUUGUGGGUACUCAUGCCAUACUCGUGCCCUCUCCGCAAACAACUUUUGUCACCCCAAUGCCUCCACAAUCGCACAACGUCGAGCUCUCCCCAUGGUCUCCCCAAGCUUUCAAGCCUUUCGUCGGGACUAGCCGGCCUCGACUACUUCCUGCUCUACUGACUUCCCCACGGACUCUUGUCAUGCCUCCUGACUGCUUUGCAUUUCGACUACUUGUUGAUGCACGGCACCUUUAGCCUUUAUCCCACAAGCCUGCUCAAGCCCUACUUCGUUAGGCUCUCGCAGAACUCCACUUCGAUUCGCAAUCAAAGUGUUCGGCCAAGUUCGAGCCAAUCGGACACCUUGUCUCUUUUCGCUCGCAACUUGCCAUAUCCCAACUCUAGGGACACCACCCUCAUGAUUGAACGCUGAACGGAACUCAGUUCACUCUCUGCUUAGUCUGAACCGCAAGUCUGGUUGCCACGGCAAUGCCGCUACCCUGCGCGCACCGCCCUUACAGAACUUCGAUACCUCGACCCUUCCCGCAGCUGCGAACUGUCCAAACUCCAGCCAGCACCAUGAUCCUGGGUGAAUCCACACACCACUCAACCCGACUAAGGAUGUCUCAUCCGUCCAACUCGUGGGCACAUUGUAAAGAGCAACCGAUCUCCACACCGGCCUUCUCGCACCAAGAGAAGUACUAAGCUCUCUCGCAAUCCUAGGUCCCCUUCACAACCUAGUCCAACGCCUAGCUGUUACUACCAUGGAUUCGUCGGCCUAGACUUCCAACUUGAGCUCCACGAAGCAAACUCUUUUACCACAUGUGUUGUAUCCCACUUCCUGUCAUAGACGAGCUCCUUCACCGAGUCUUUGCGCAUGGGAGCACUUAAUGAACAAACGUGCUCCCCCACUCUGAGUCGCUCCACCACCAAGCGCACUCAGAUCUCCCCGGCAUUCUCAAUGCCCCACAUUCCGCUCUGCUAGCUCCGGCUCUGCCACAACCUUCACUAUUCCCUCAAGCGGAACCCAUGUCAUCCAUCCAAUGGAUACAUGUAUGCUACCUCGAGUCACCAACGCUGUCACCGUUCUGCUCGAAGCUAGCCUUACCACCUCACUCCGCGAGUUAAGGUUUCAACCUCAAUCCAUUCUCUCGCACAAGGAUGCCUUCUCAUUCCAUAUCAUGGGCACACUCCAAAGAGUCAUCGAUCUCCCCAUCGAUCUUCCUUUUACCAAGAGAGAAGUACUGGUUCAUCGAGUAGCCCUUUGGUAAUCCCGCAACUUUGGUCGAAGCUGCUCCCAACGAAGACUACUGCCCGUCAGACUUCAAACUCAGCUUUCACGAAGUAAACUCUUUCGCCCAGUGUUUCACCGCCCAAUCCAUAUCCUUUCGAGAAGCACCAUCGUCGAGGAUUCACAUUUGGGAAUACAUCUCCACCUUAUGUACUCCCCCACCCUGAGUCGUAAGCACCUCUGUACAACUCAGUAUCCUUGGGCAUUCGCAAUACCCAACUCCGCGGCAACCCAACCACGGACCGCAAACUGAUUCUUCCUAAUCAUUGCCCCAUCGUCUGCCACACGACUAAGGCCUUAACCAUUUCUCCAUCCUGAGAAUGACUUGGAAAUCCUCACAGGGUACCGACAUGAACUUGGCUUUCGUCCCACCACGAGUCCACACCAACAAGCACCUCCCUCGCAAGACCCGCAAUCGGCUGGGCCUCCGAGCUCCUCGCUGUUAUCUGACUCUCAUCCAUGCGUGGUGCAAGUCCGAACCGCCCGGCUUCACUCACCGCAAAGAAUUCGUGGGUAGUACCAAUAUCCAUCGCAACUUAACUCCGCAUCUCUCACAAGCGAAGUAUUGUCCCAAUGCAUUGUCGGCUCCAAGUCCUUUCGUCAGAGUGACUCUGCUCACUCCAACUUCGCCGCCAAGGUCGCACCUUUCGGCCAAACUUCCAUCCCAAAUGAGCUCAACCUGGCUCUGAUACCACUUGUCACGGGGUUAGCUUUUCCGCCUCAAAAAUCCCCGCGCGGCGCUCAAGUGUCGCACACCCGAGCCAGCCUUCUCGAGUCCCUUACACGGACAAGUCUCCCCGACUUAACAGCGGAAUACCAAUCCAAGCAUUUUGCCAAGCUUGCUCCUCCUCGAGACUUAUAGCCCGACCCUCGCCUGUAAUCGAACCCCUCGUCGGACUCCUCGAGUUCCCAACGAGCAACCCCAAUAUCGAGGUUGGCCACCAAGCUAGGUGCAUCCUGUUUUGUCAACCAAACCCUCCUCGAGAGUGCUCUGUAGCCGAAUGCCUUGUUGCCUUCCUCGCCAGCCCAAGGACAUUACAAGUUCUCCCCCAACUUGUACAAUAUGAGUAUAGCCGAGCGUCUCGCCUCCCACGCGUCUCGCUCCCGCGACUCAACCCGCACGCCUCUAGCGUCGAGGUCCGGGCUUCGCGACAUCGCAUGCCACGAAGGGCACUCAUAACCAUAAGUUCCACCAUCGUGUCUCCCGCGCCUGACAACGCCCAUGGCCAUACCGCCUACGCGGCCUGCUCGCUCGGUCCAACGGCUUACCUCCGAAAAGCCACCCAAGUGUGCGCCACAAGCUUGCUUGCCCCAACAUCAGCACCUCAGCGUGACACCACGCACGUCCGUGCUUCGCACCUCCGUGCUUCGCAUUCGACCCGUGCGGCCCUCGUGUCCCAUCGCUCCUGAAUAGGGAACCAACAAGUCCACACCGUGCUUCUCGACCGUCUCAUCGACCCUCGCUUUGCCACGGCGCUCCGCGCCCUUGACUCCCAUAGGUUCGCCUCAUAAGGCCCCAUACAAACGAACCGGCCUCGCUCCGCAUCGCUAGCCACUGGCCCCUCCUUGGCUCGACCACGCCUGGCCGCUUACCCCAUUGGUCCAGUCUCUCAAGGUUCACUAUACGGAUACCGAUACCGCUUGCCUCCUUGGGUUCCGCCCCUCGAGUCUCGUAGGCCACCCGCCUUACGAAUUCUCCCUCGGCGUGCCUCCCUUUAGCGUCCCUAUCGAGUCUCGCCUCCUUGGCCUUCGUGGGCGCCGCGCCCCACGAAUCCCCGCUCGGCACACUUGCCUUCGCGAGCCUUGUCCUUUACGGAGGACCGUCCGUCGCUAGACUAUCCCUCAUCCGCUCGUACGCUCCACUACAGAGAUCCAAGCCGGCAUAAGGUAGCGCAAGCGAUCCUAGGGAGGAAGCCUCCCGGUAUUCCCCGCUUCCGUAAUGUCGUCGACCUCUCGCGUCUCCGACAUUACCCUAGGCCCGUGUCCCUUCAACCGUCCAUUAACCGGCUACACGGAACGCUAGGCUUGGCUACUCCGCUAGCCAAGGGACGACCCAUAUCCUAUGGGUCGACGGGGGAGUCGGGGCCACUUACGAAGUGUCCACCCCUCCUCUAAUACCCUUACGAGGCAUCCACUCCUUUGGCACCCCGGGGGUACAAAGGUGCUCACCGAGGGGUACGUUUUCAAGCCCCGCAUGCGGCACCUAUUUCCAAGUCAUGGCAUGGGCCAUUGCUAGGGAAUUGCCUCCGUUGACUUGACAGCGACUCCUACCUGACGGAACGCUUCAACUCCGCAACUCCAUAACUUCGUCAACCCAAAUGCCUACCAAGUAUGGCCCACAAAGGUGUCACGGUCGAGACCCAACGAUCGACCCGUGACAGUACGGCACGAGCGGCAUUUUGAACCUUGAUAAUAAUAUUAUAAUACUAAUCCAAGUGUCGAAACGCAAAAAAUCGCGCCUGCGGUGUUUCGAUCGGCUCGUCAAAUGGCACCAAAUCCCUUUCCUCUUCUUCUUCUUCUCUUUUUCCCCUUUCUCUUCUUUCCUUUUCUCUCUAUACGUACAGGUUGAAGGUGGAGGGAAGCUUCAAGAGGCUUCCCUGGCAACUUAGUGGAAUUCCACUACGGUAACAAUAUGCCAAUAAGUCCAUAAGCCAUCAAUAUUCUCAAUUUGCUCUAAUUUCAAUUUGAUACUUUUAAUUGCAGCCCUUCUGAAUGUCCGUUUGUACUCAGAUUUGACAAUCAGGCUCAAUUAAAGUCAAUCAAAAGUACGUUGUCUUAACUUUUUAGUUUUGAAUCAUUUUAGGUCACCGAAAGCUCUACCAACUAAAAUCUUUAAC